rnacentral:lncRNA from 1 species
UUUAAACAGGUUGGCAAUAAAAAACCAAAACCUUUUCCAAACAGGACUGUCAGAUGCAAAGAUAAUCUCCCACCUCUUCUUUCAGCACCUGCUAAAGGAUUUGGACUUCAGGGAUAUUUUUGAUAUCAACCUGCAAAAUGGCCACUGCUUGGAGGUAACCUGGCCUUUCAUCAGUGCCAGCUCUUCGCGUUAACCCAGUACAGCACGAACGGUGAACCUAAGAAGACGCUGCGGACACUGGCAAUAGUAAAAGUCCUGUAACCACACGAGCAUCGCACCUUCUGUUGCACUACAGC